UACGUAGGGAGCUAGCGUUGUUCGGAAUCACUGGGCGUAAAGGGAGCGUAGGCGGAAUGGCAAGUUAGGAGUUAAAGGCAUGGGCUCAACCCAUUGCAUGCUCUUAAUACUGCUGUUCUUGAGUAUGGGAGAGGAUGAUGGAAUUCCUGGUGUAGCGGUGGAAUGCGUAGAUAUCAGGAAGAACACAGGUUGCGAAGGCGGUCAUCUGGCCCAAUACUGACGCUGAGGCUCGAAAGCUAGGGGAGCAAACAGG
rnacentral:rRNA from 1 species